rnacentral:rRNA from 1 species
CUAAUAGCGUAUAUUAAAGUUGUUGCAGUUAAAAAGCUCGUAGUUGAAUUUCGGGGUUAGUAAGUUGGUCAUGCCUUUGGUAUGUACUGGCUUUACUGAUUCCUCCUUCUUGACGAACUGUAAUGUCAUUAAUUUGGUGUUGCAAGGAAUCAGGACUGUUACUUUGAAAAAAUUAGAGUGUUUAAAGCAGGCUUAAGCUUGAAUACAUUAGCAUGGAAUAAUGAAAUAGGACGUUAAUUCUAUUUUGUUGGUUUCUAGGGUCGACGUAAUGAUUAAUAGGGAUGGUUGGGGGCAUUAGUAUUCAAUUGUCAGAGGUGAAAUUCUUGGAUUUAUUGAAGACUAACUACUACGAAAGCAUUUGCCAAGGAUGUUUUCAUUAAUCAAGAACGAAAGUUAGGGGAUCGAAGACGAUCAGAUACCGUCGUAGUCUUAACCAUAAAUUAUGCCGACUAGGGAUCGGAUGAUGUUAAUUUUUUAAUGACUCA